AAGCAGUUUUGAGCAAAUCAGCUAGUAAAUGGCAUUUUAACAGAAGCCAGAUGGAAUAAAUUAAAAGGAGUCUGGCAAACCCUGUGCGAAGGAGGGAAUAUAAGUAUCUGCAGGGAUGGCGAAGAAAGAUGACUCCCAGUAGAGAGCUAAUAAGAGCAACAAAUAUGAGUCUUUACCUCACUUAUAAAUGCAAAGAAAACAAACAAAUCCACAAUCCAAAUUUUCUCACCUGAAUGUAAAUAAACCUAUUAGACCUUGCUCUGUCCUGCCCAGGAUUUUUGAUGCAAAAAAUGCUUCCUGACACAGUGCUUACAAGAUUGGUUUUAUCUAUCUUCUGUAAAUACUGAUUAUUCUGUGGCUUUUCACCUUCUCUGUGAUGUGAGCCAUUUGUGAGAAGGACGCCAACUAUGGAAGUAAGUUAGCUGCCUUGUCUGUGAUAUUGAACAAAUACGUUAUAAGCAGAUUCAAGCCUGUGCUUCAUGGCAACCUGUCCGGGGCAAGUGCUCUGUUGAGCGUCUGAAUGUUAUAGGUUGUUGCUGAGUCUUCACAAAUGGCCAAAUGCGUCAUCUACACCGGUCUCUGAAUGCCUGACCUAAGGCAAGAAAGCCUGUUGUGCUGAUUUGUCUGUCCACUGGAAGUGAGUAUUCCUGCUACCCAAAGGCAGAAAAUCACUUACCUGGCACACACCUGGUCUCCCCAAGAUCCCUCUGCAAUCACUGGAGAGAGAGAGAGAGCAAGAUGGGCCCCUCCAGUGGGUAAUUCAAACCAGGACCUUAAUUUAGCUACAUCGCGUCGUCCUCUGCAGGAGAUUUUGUCUUUCUCCAUGGACCGAGGAGAGGCUGGAGAGCCUGGCUGAGCAACUUGGCUGCCUGCGGUUGGUGUUGUGAAUUCUCUGCUUGCUGAAGCCAAUGAAAACAUGAAGAAACAGAGCUAUCUGUGACCUCUCUAAGUAAUUUAUUCACCCUCAUUCUUCACACUUGGUGCCAACUUUCUCAUUUGAUCUGGCUGAAGUUUGCCUCCUUGAACUGUUGUUAUGGCUUUCCCUGCUAGACAGAGAAAGAUUUAGUAGUGACGGUUUCCUUCCUUCGCGCUGAAAUCAAGGCGUCUGAAUCUUCUUUGUGAUGACAGGAAUAAACGCAUCCCUCUUAAAAUCUGUCACUCAGAUGCAGUCUUGCCAUUCACUGUGUGGCUUUUUUGGCAGGUUUUUAAACACCCCUUUGGAAAACCCAACUUCCAGCCACAGCCAGUGCUGCGGGCCAGCCUCACCGGUGCAGAUUGCAAGAUGAUAGCGCCCCGCUUCUCCUGCAGAGCGCUCCUCGCCCAGGGCAGAAGGAUAUCACCCUCGGCGCUUUCCACUUACCUACAACCAAACGCCUAUUACAGAGCAAUAUUUCUGAAGCAGAGCUCUUUUCAGGAGGCCUCACGAGAACUCUCUGGCACAUCUCUCAGGCAGAGGACUAUGCUGCUGAAUUUAAAAAUUUGUCCUUGCUCGCUAAUGGACUUGAAAGACAGGUGAUGAAGGAAUGCAUCCUCUUCUUUUCCUUGGCCAAGUGAUCUUGAGAGCUCCCCGUGUUUCCCCCUGGGCUUCAUGUAUGAGAGCAGAGUCACACAAGCUGAAGACCCACAGUCUCAGUUAGCAGUUUUCUGCAGUUGUUUCCAUGCAAGUGAUGCUAGAUGUGAAUAUGAUAACCCAACUGUAAAAGCUGAAGCUGGGCCAGGACUUCUCGAGCUGUGACAGAAGGGCUAAAUGAGUGGAGGGAAUUUUAUGUGCCUCUUCCCACCGCAUUCCAGUAACCAUGCAGGAAGUCAUUGAUCAAUGGGAUUUAAGCAACAUGCACAAGAAAGGCUGACUGCUAGCAGCGAAUGUGGUAACACCAUUGCUGUGUUGCCCUCUAUUGCCUGGGACCUUCACAGCCUGCUGUACCACAUUAAGACCUGAUGCAAGCAGACAUACAUCCUUCCAAGCAUAUUUUGUGCAAUUUUUGAGGAAUCCUGCAAGGACUCAUCAGCCCAAGUAAUUCUCUCUGCCCCAAAACUAUGGGGAAGGGAAGUGAUUAUGAGAAAUCUCAUGUUCCUUCAGCAGCUGCAGACACUUUGGGUGGGAUUCAUCUGACUAAACAUAGAUGUCUCCAUCUGAGCUAGUCACGCUAGACUCUCUUUAUGGAGGAGAAAAUGGAGAAAUAUAGGCAUAGCUAUGAGUCAUCCCCUCCCCAAGUCAGUGUCUAAAACAGGUCAGGCGAAUCGUGCCCAUUUCUCUUUGCAUAAAAAAGGAGCGGCAAUGAGGAGGCCAAGUGCCGGCCUAUAACGUUACACACAUCCCAUCCUUUAUCUGGUACCCAAACCGGAUGAUUUGAUGUGGGACCAAAGGGCCAAGUCAUGGUGAGGGCAUUGCCAAAAAACCGCCGUGUAACCGCAGGAGAGCAGGGUGACUUGGCAUACUCAGCAUGAGCGUAUUUCAAUGCGUCCUUCACUGUGGGACAGAAGGCAAGAAGUGUAAUGUCGGAAAGGAAAUGGCCUAAGAAAAAUGCCUGUAAAAGUCACCGUGGGACAUCAAUCUGGUGCCAAGACUUAUGUUUUUUUUGAACCGCUGCAGGUACCUCUGUUCUUCUGUUUGCAGGCUGGAAUUACUGCCUUCCUGCCUCCGCUGCAACGCGCUGUGUGACCCUGUUACUUCACCUCUCCGGGCCUCCCUUUCCUUCCCACCUGUCCUUUUCAGACAUCAGUAAAGUGGGCCCAUCUUCCUAUUCCCACAGUGUCUCCGAGCACUGCCGAGCAUGCACACCACCAGGCAGGCAGGGCGCUGAUGAUGCUCGUCAUCUGCGGCAGAGCUGUGCGUCUAAAACACUCGCAAGUGCUGUGGACAUUUGGGCAUCUUCCAGGAGGACAUUAGCUCUUUGCAUCCUGUGCUACAACUCCUCAUUGCUCAGCUCUGCACAUGUCCUCUCGCUGGCCUAGCACUGAGCUGCAUGUUGAAAGAAAGGAGCAUUUCCCAUGCUAUGUGUGUGUCAGUGACGCAUGGAGAGAGGAAAUGCAGCAGUUGCCAGAAGCAGCGCUGAUGUUACUUUAUGUUGUUAUCUGAUGAGAAAACUAAUGAAGCAAAAAUGCUUUGAGCAUGCAAUAAGCCAGCCCCUCUGCUGAGGGAUUACAGCUAAGGACUCUCAAGACCUCAUGUGCACCCAUGACUGUAACCCGUGAGUAAGAGCAUGAAGCAUGCACACAAGGUAAAUAAAUGGUUAGAGAGAGCUGCUCCAAGUCAAAUUCCUCCCCCUCCUUUUUCUCCCCGCUUUCUCACCACUGAAGGACAUACAAAAGCUCAAAUGAUGUCACAGGGCCAUGCAUUUGGCAAGUUUCUUGCUGCUUUGUCCCAGCACACGACAAGCCAGUUUCAUGACAUUGUCCUUGCAUUUGCUUGCAGCGGCGCGUGCAGAAAUUACAGCAGAGCCUGGCGGUACAAAGCAGGCACGGAGGAGAGAUGAGGCUUUUCAGCUCUACUGCAAAAGGUCCCACUCAGUGGCACUAAAAGCAAGCACAAGGGCCAAAUGCUGAAUUUCCAACCCCACGGUGUAGGUAGUUGACUGGCAGAAAGGGGGUGGAUGGAUUAGGAGGGGGGGGGCCCUAUGUUUUUGGUUAGCUCAGGCUCUGUAUGUAGUUUCCUUCCUUGAAACAUCAGAAAAGUGGAAGUAAAUUAAUCUGCUUAAAAGCAAACAAAAACGCUGUGUGGGGGGAGGAGGGGUUGUAUGUGUAUGACACGUAUUUUUAGGAGCCAACUCCUCGGUAGAUGAUGUGGGAAUUUAGGAAUUGAAUUGUUUGAAAUAAGGGCUGGGGUUCCUCAGCCUCCUCAGCACACCGAUUAACCAUUUUUCUGUUGGGAUUUUUAAGAGAUCCCCUUUGUCUAAUUUCUGGAUAGAAAUGUGCCUUUAAAUCUUGUGCCUUUAAGCCUGCCAAAGGAUCUGGUAUCAAGGCAGCUCUGCUCUUUGUGCUUAGGUAUUUCUGGGAAAGCCAGAGGCAGAGGCAGAGGUAGGAGAAGGUAUGUUCAUUAAGUGCCACCACCUGGAGUUAAAGGAACAAGCGCGCUUCUGCUCUUUCACCCUGUCACGAGAAGCUCACUGAGAUGAAGGAAGCGGUUAAGGGUGGAUCGUGAGAAACCAACCUGAGAGCGGAGGGUCAGCCCCUAUGGCACCUGAGCUGUGCGUAUGCCUGGUGCCAGAGCGAACAGCCCCUACGCGUUUGCUCCGAGCCGCAUCCUGUUGUACCUUGCUUUCAGCAGUUUGGCUAAGAAGCUUGCCGCUUUCCUGAAUGAGAUGAGGGGGUGACAGCUGAAGCCAUGGGUCUGCUUCCUCUACUGAGAAAUAUAUCCACAAAUGUUUCACUACUUUAAUACACCUGAAAGGGAGAGCUAAAA